rnacentral:rRNA from 1 species
GUGGGGAAUAUUGGGCAAUGGGCGAAAGCCUGACCCAGCAACGCCGCGUGAAGGAAGAAGGUUUUCGGAUCGUAAACUUCUAUCCUUGGUGAAGAUAAUGACGGUAGCCAAGAAGGAAGCCCCGGCUAACUACGUGCCAGCAGCCGCGGUAAUACGUAGGGGGCAAGCGUUGUCCGGAAUGAUUGGGCGUAAAGGGCGCGUAGGCGGCCCGGUAAGUCUGAAGUGAAAGUCCUGCUUUUAAGGUGGGAAUUGCUUUGGAUACUGUCGGGCUUGAGUGCAGGAGAGGUAAGUGGAAUUCCCGGUGUAGCGGUGAAAUGCGUAGAGAUCGGGAGGAACACCAGUGGCGAAGGCGACUUACUGGACUGUAACUGACGCUGAGGCGCGAAAGUGUGGGGAGCAAACAGGAUUAGAAACCCUUGUAGUCC